rnacentral:tRNA from 1 species
GCCGGUGUGGCGAAAUGGCAGACGCAACGGACUUAAAAUCCGUUGGGCCUAACAGCCCGUGUCGGUUCGAGUCCGACCGCCGGCACCA